rnacentral:rRNA from 1 species
AUUGAACGCUGGCGGCAGGCCUAACACAUGCAAGUCGAACGAGUGGCGGACGGGUGAGUAAAGUCUGGGAAACUGCCUGAUUGAGGGGGAUAACUACUGGAACCGGUAGCUAAUACCGCAUACCAUCGGAUGUGCCCAGAUGGGAUUAGCUAGUAGGUGGGGUAACGGCUCACCUAGGCGACGAUCCCUAGCUGGUCUGAGAGGAGAACAAGACACACUGGAACUGCGACACGGUCAAGACUCAUACGGGAGGCAGCAGUGGGGAAUAUUGCACAAUGGGCGCAAGCCUAAUGAAGCCAUGCCGGGUUUAUGAAGAAGGCCUUCGGGUUGUAAAGUACUUUCAGCGGGGAGGCGUUACCCGCAGAAGAAGCACCGGCUAACUCCGUGCCAGCAGCCGCGGUAAUAC